AGGAAAAGAAACUAACAAGGAUUCCCCUAGUAACUGCGAGUGAAGCGGGAAAAGCUCAAAUUUAAAAUCUGGCGGUCUUUGGCCGUCCGAGUUGUAAUCUAGAGAAGUAAUGCCCGUGCUGGACCGUGUAUAAGUCUCCUGGGAUGGGGCGUCAUAGAGGGUGAGAAUCCCGUCUUUGACACGGACUACCAGUGCAUUGUGGUAUGCUCUCAAAGAGUCGAGUUGUUUGGGAAUGCAGCUCAAAAUGGGUGGUAAAUUCCAUCUAAAGCUAAAUAUUGGCGAGAGACCGAUAGCGAACAAGUACCGUGAGGGAAAGAUGAAAAGAACUUUGGAAAGAGAGUUAAACAGUACGUGAAAUUGCUGAAAGGGAAACGCUUGAANUCAGUCGCGUUGGCCAGGGAUCANCCUUGCUUUUGCAUGGUGUUCUUUCUGGUUGAACGGGGUCAGCAUCAAUUUUGAACGCUGGAAAAAGGGCUGGGGAAUGUGGCAGCUUCGGCUGUGUUAUANCCCCNGGUCCCAUACANUGGUUGGAAUUGAAGAACUCNCCCCNCCCCCAGGCCNGGUUUCCAACACNUUCGUGCUUANGANGCUGGCAUAAUGGCUUUAAGCNAACCCUCUUGAAACCCGGACCAAGGAGUCUAACAUGCCUGCGAGUAUUUGGGUGGAAAACCCGAGUGCGCAAUGAAAGUGAAAGUUGAGAUCCCUGUCGUGGGGAGCAUCGACGCCCGGACCAGAACUUUUGGGACGGAUCCGCGGUGGAGCAUGUAUGUUGGGACCCGAAAGAUGGUGAACUAUGCCUGAAUAGGGUGAAGCCAGAGGAAACUCUGGUGGAGGCUCGUAGCGAUUCUGACGUGCAAAUCGAUC
rnacentral:rRNA from 1 species